UACCCUCGGGAGGGGGAUAACCCCGGGAAACUGGGGCUAAUCCCCCAUAGGCCUGGGGUACUGGAAGGUCCCCAGGCCGAAAGGGGCUCUGCCCGCCCGAGGAUGGGCCGGCGGCCUAUCAGGUAGUUGGUGGUGUAAAGGACCACCAAGUCUACGACGGGUACGGGCCCUGAGAGGGGUAGCCCGGAGAUGGACUCUGAGACACGAGUCCAGGCCCUACGGGGCGCAGCAGGCGCGAAACCUUCGCAAUGCGCGAAAGCGCGACGAGGGGAGCCCGAGUGCCCUUCCUUUUGGGAGGGCUUUUCCGGAGUCUAAAAAGCUCCGGGAAUAAGGGCUGGGCAAGACGGGUGCCAGCCGCCGCGGUAAUACCCGCAGCUCGAGUGGUGGCCACUAUUAUUGAGCCUAAAGCGUCCGUAGCCGGACCCGUAAAUCCCUGGGUAAAUCCUGGCGCUUAACGUCAGGAAUUCCGGGGAGACUGCGGGUCUUGGGACCGGGAGAGGCCGGAGGUACUCCCAGGGUAGGGGUAAAAUCCUGUAAUCCCGGGGGGACCACCUGUGGCGAAAGCGUCCGGCUUGAACGGCUCCGACGGUGAGGGACGAAGGCCAGGGGAGCAAACCGGAUUAGAUACCCGGGUAGUCCUGGCUGUAAACGCUGCCCGCUUG
rnacentral:rRNA from 1 species